GUACGAGAGGACCGGAGUGGACGCAUCACUGGUGUUCGGGUUGUCAUGCCAAUGGCACUGCCCGGUAGCUAAAUGCGGAAGAGAUAAGUGCUGAAAGCAUCUAAGCAAGAAACUUGCCCCGAGAUGAGUUCUACCUGACUCCUUGAGAGUCCUGAAGGAACGUUGAAGACGACGACGUUGAUAGGCCGGGUGUGUAAGCGCAGCGAUGCGUUGAGCUAACCGGUACUAAUGAACCGUGAGGCUUAACCUUACAACGCCGAAGGUGUUU
rnacentral:rRNA from 1 species